CCUACGUGAGGCAGCAGUGGGGAAUCUUCCGCAAUGGACGAAAGUCUGACGGAGCAACGCCGCGUGAGUGAUGACGGCCUUCGGGUUGUAAAGCUCUGUUAAUCGGGACGAAAGGCCUUCUUGCGAAUAGUUAGAAGGAUUGACGGUACCGGAAUAGAAAGCCACGGCUAACUACGUGCCAGCAGCCGCGGUAAUACGUAGGUGGCAAGCGUUGUCCGGAAUUAUUGGGCGUAAAGCGCGCGCAGGCGGAUUGGUCAGUCUGUCUUAAAAGUUCGGGGCUUAACCCCGUGAUGGGAUGGAAACUGCCAAUCUAGAGUAUCGGAGAGGAAAGUGGAAUUCCUAGUGUAGCGGUGAAAUGCGUAGAUAUUAGGAAGAACACCAGUGGCGAAGGCGACUUUCUGGACGAAAACUGACGCUGAGGCGCGAAAGCCAGGGGAGCGAACGGGAUUAGAUACCCCAGUAGUC
rnacentral:rRNA from 1 species